UGAUAAUGAUAACUAUACUGUUUUGAAGCUGAAGGGUUUCUGAUGUGCCACAUCAGUCUCUACAAGUUGUCUUGGACAAAGCUUUCUGUUGUAGCUUCUACAACAUCACAACAUCACUCUGCCCCUUAAAAACCUUUUGAUUAGGAAAUAUGAAAAGAUCAGUAGUCUUUGAAUCAGUGGGGUUGGUUGGGAGACUUAAGGACUAUUAACUUUUGACAAAGAAAACUGCCCAAGAUUGACAAAACCUUCACUUGGGGUUGUAUUGUUUUCAAACUAAUCAACAUAAUUAAGAUCAGCAGAGCUAUUAGAACAAAAUGGGUUGAAAGAGAAUGAGUACUUAUGAUCCAUAAAAACCAAAUUAGUCUAAUUAGGAAAGAAGCGCAAAACCGUUCUACUUUAUGAACUUAGGCUCUUUUACAUGACCUGAGACGCCUAUACUUUAGGAAAUUUUUACCUACUACUCCUAAUUUUCAUUCUUUUGAACUUUUGAGACCAUAAAUAUAUACUAUUUGGAGUUGCAGACUUCUAGUUGAAUUUAGAAUAGAGCCCAUUUCAAGUUUUUGUGCAGGUAUUCUUUUCUUUCCUCUUUGUUUUGAAAUUUUGAAUGAUUUUUUCUGACCCCAUGUCUUAAAUUCGUUUGAAGUUGAGGAAAUGUCUUUUUAACCCUGGGAAACUGUAUUGGUUUCUUAGUGAACUAAAAAUCUGGUUAAUAGCAGAGUGAAGGGCUUUAAGCAGCCUCAGGGUUGGGUGGGGGUGGGGUAUGAUCCCUGGUCUGGAGGCUAGAGCACGUGAAUAUACCAUAUGAGCAAUCUUAGUAUGUAUAAGGGGCUUUGGGAUAAAUUUCAGUUGACAUGUAGAGUUGAUUCACGUGCAGUGCUUUCAUAUGCCUUUCUUUGGGACUUUAACAACUGAAAGGAAUGAAAGAUCAGUAAGUACCAUGUACAGUUAUACCAAAACCAUGAAAAUUCGAGUAAUUCAUCCCUUAGUUUCGUAAAAGCUUUGUAUUUAUGAGUGCUGGUAAGUAGGUUUACGGAUAAAGAGAACACAAAAGAUGCAGCUGUGCAGUUGAGAGCUCAUUCAAUGAGGAUAAUGGCCUUUUAUCAAGAAAACCGGUGAGGGUUGUUACUAUCUUUCUCUCCCCUCAUACACAAGUCAUCACAAUGGGACCCUAGCCUCAUGUGAGGCCCUUAAGUGCAAUGUCGGUGAGCCUCUUAAACCAUCCUCCUAUGAUCUUUAUAUAACAAGGUCUAAUGGACUGAAACCACUCAAGCCUUCGAUCAGACUAGAGAAGCUUGUAGCUUCUCAAUUUCAUUAUCUUCUCUAUAUACCUGUAAUCAUUGGGAGCCAUAAGGAGGUUCCAAUGCAGGUUCUCCCCAUUUCUCGAGGGGCACUUCUGUGCUUCUGGGUGUCCUUGCUAUUUUCUGCAAGCUUCUGCCAUGGAAGUGUUCAGAAAGUUGAGGUAGUUGGAAUUGGAGAAUGUGCAGACUGUAAGCAGAGGAAUAUUAAGACUAGCCAAGCCUUUUCAGGUACAAUUUUUCUUAUGGUUUCCAUGUAAAUUAGUCUUGUCCUAAGAUGGGUACAUGGUAAUACUUUUUUGAGUCUCCAACUUUAGCUUCAUGAUGUAUUGCAUUUCUUGCCCUCAACCUUGGAAAGAGCCAAUGAAUGGCUUGGUUUCAAAUGGGUUUUGCUGGUUCUUUGCUUGAUAGCUUCCAUGCUGUGCAUUCUACAGAGAUGGAAGGCAUUAUGACCUCUAUAACUUCUUCAUGGUCCCCAUUAUCCUUUCACAUUCAAAAUCAGUACAGUUCUGGCAUGAAAAUGGCAUGCCAGAAACUUAACAGAAAAGCCAACUUAAAGUUACUUCCAUUCAGAUCUUGGCCAGUCCGAAGUAUACUCCAUGUUGCCUGGUUUGUAUUCAAGUAUAUGAAAAAUGUGAUACUAACACCUGAUGGUAACAUGUAAGGCUUUUAGGUUUGUCCUUCCAGGUUAGGAGUCCAGCAUAAUUUCUGGUGGAAGAAUGAUAUCUAUAGUUGAAUUUGGUUAAUCCCCCUGUGAAUUACUUAUACUGCAACAGUCCAAACAUACAACUAAUACUGAAGAGCAUAACCAUGAGCUUUUGCAUGAAUUUUUUGUGCAGGUCUUCGUGUUACAAUUGACUGCAAGCUAGCAAAUGGAGAGUUCAAAACAAGGGCAGUUGGGGAGCUUGAUGAAGAAGGAAAAUUCAAGGUCUCCCUCCCUGAGGAGAUUGUAAAAGAUGGAGAGUUAAAAGAGGAAUGCUUUGCACAGCUUCACAGCGCAUCAGCUACACCAUGCCCUGCCCACAAUGGCCUAGAGAGCUCCAAGCUGAUCUUGAAGACUAAAGUUGAUGGCAAGCAUACAUUUGGCCCUGCUGGAAAACUGAAGUUCUCACCAGCUACCUGCACUUCAGCCUUCUUAUGGCCUUACUACAAGCACCCGCAGCUUCCCAAAGUCUCAUGGCCCAAAUUGCCACCCUAUUCCAAAUCUCAUCCAUGGUAUAAGCCCAUGCCCAAGAUCUACCUUCCACCUAUCAAAUUUCCUCCACUCCCGCCAAAGGUCUAUCCUCCUUUCACAUUUCCUCCACUCCCUCCAAAAGUCUUCCCUCCACCAGUGCCAAUCUAUAAGAAACCGCUACCACCCCCUGUGCCAGUGUACAAGAAGCCAUUACCACCCCCAGUACCAGUAUACAAGAAGCCGUUACCACCCCCCGUACCAGUAUACAAGAAGCCGCUUCCACCCCCAGUGCCAAUAUACAAGAAGCCGCUUCCACCCCCAGUGCCAAUAUACAAGAAGCCGCUCCCACCCCCAGUGCCAAUAUACAAGAAGCCGCUCCCACCCCCAGUGCCAAUAUACAAGAAGCCGCUCCCACCCCCAGUGCCAAUAUACAAGAAGCCGCUCCCACCCCCAGUGCCAGUAUACAAGAAGCCGCUCCCACCCCCAGUGCCAGUAUACAAGAAGCCGCUCCCACCCCCAGUGCCAGUAUACAAGAAGCCGCUCCCACCCCCAGUGCCAAUAUACAAGAAGCCACUACCACCCCCAGUGCCAAUAUACAAGAAGCCACUACCACCCCCAGUGCCAGUGUACAAGAAGCCGCUUCCCCCACCUGUUCCAGUUUAUAAGAAGCCACUUCCUCCACCUGUUCCAGUUUAUAAGAAGCCACUUCCUCCGCCAGUCCCAGUAUAUAAGAAGCCGUGUCCUCCAGAAAUUCCUAAGAUCCUUCCACCACCAAUACCAAUAUACAAAAAGCCGCUUCCACCUUUUGUUCCAAUCUACAAGCCAAUUCCACCUAUCUCCAAACCUCUUCCUCCAUUUCCUCCAAUUUAUAAGAAGCCAUGGCCACCCAUUCCUCAAGUCCCUCUUCCUAAAUUUCCUCCUGUCCACAAGUUUCCUCCAAAGUACUUCCACCACCCCAAGUUUGGAUUUGGUUCUCCUGUACCACCUUAUUCUUCUCAUCCAUAGGUUAUCCUAGUUUACUUUUCAUGAUCAUUGUUUCAUAAGGAAGAGGUUGGCAUGCAUUGUUGGUACUAGAAUAAGUUAAGCCUCCAUGGUAGAGAGUACUUGAGAGUGGGAGAAAGACAAAACCUGAAUCGUUGUUAAUUAUUUCCAGUAAUGAAAUGAAUAUGUAUGUGUGGAUUGUUCUUAUUAUCACAUUAUGGCCUCUGAACCUUGUAAAUGUUCUAUGGUCUGUGAAUGCAUCUAUGGAAUAUUAAUAUGUUCACUUAAAUGAAAACAAUAGUAUUUUCACUUUCAUUUCAUCUGAAAAUUUCACUUUAAAAAAUGCAUUACCACUUUGUUUUGAUCUCCAUAUUCAUGAAUGUAUUCUGCAGAAAUCGUAAUUUUCUUAUUGAUUUACAAGACUCUCAAGAAUAUUCACAAGAAGAGAAUAAUAAUAUAAAAGAGCUUUGAUAGACUGAAGGUUAUCCUUGGGCACCUGAUAAACCAAUUCAUCAACCUGCCAUUUUUCCAUUUACCAAAGAAGCUAGUCAGAAUACAGAGGUUGUUUUGUCUAGUAAGGUAAGCAAACUCUCACCACGACCGACUAACAACGGGCAACCCAGUUAUGAUAUUAGCAUCUUGGGAUUUUUUCUCUACAAGGCCCUUAAUUGGGUUCAUAUAUGGACCCCAGAAUGUUUGUACUCAUUAAGCUUUUCUUUUAUUGAAAAAAAUCACAAUUAGAUCUCAUGUUGUGAAUUAAAAAUGGCAGGUUGACAAUUAAAUGUGGUGAUAAUCCUUGUUUUCUUUUGCCUGUUCAUUAAUUGCUCUGUUAAAAUUGCAGAAUGAUUUGAAAUACCCAUUAGAUUGCCCUGGUGAUACUUUUAUUAGUUGCACCAAAUCUGAAACCGAAUACUGAGCAAACCCUUAUGGAAAAAUUAAUAAGCAGUCCAACCUAAGUGUAGGCUUCUCAGGGGAAAGCUCAACUUACCUUGGAUACAAUAACAGAAAGAAUAGAACAAAUUCGUCCUUACAACACAUGAAAGAGAGUGACCAAAAGAGUGUCCUCCCACCAGAAUGGCUGGUGAAACAUUAUGACAACAACAGAAAUUUUACAUGUUCACAACAUAGCUGUGUGGUUCAUAUAGCAGCAUUUGUUAGGCAAAUUAAUUAUGUGUUCAUGGAACAAGCAACAUGAGAUCUGUCAAGGAACAAUGGUAACAAAAAUCAACAGUAAAGUACAGUCCAGAGUUUUACCAAAAGCAUAAGCAUUUCAGCAAUUCAGCUUUCUAUAAAAGCAAAAUUUAAAGUAUGCUGGUAAGUAGGUUUACAGAUAAUAUAAACUGCAGAUGUGCAGUGGAGAGCUGAUUCAAAGAAGUGAAUGGCCUUAAAUUGAUUAAAAAAAACUGGUGAGGCUGUUACUGUUUUUCUCUCCCCUAUUACACAAAUCAUAAUAAAGGGUAUCUAACCUCAUGUAUGGCCCUAAAGCAUGGUGUUGGUGAGCCCAUUAAAUCGAUUCCUCAAGAUCAUUAUACAACAAGGUCUUUAAAUCUCAAGGGCCUAAGUCAAUGAAGCUUAACAUCAACCUAUAGAAGCUCAUGGCUUCUUCAUUUCAUUGUCUUUUCAAUUUUUUUGUUUGUCAUUAUAAUAGGGGAUCAUAAGGGGGCUAGGAUUCCCAAUAUGGACACAACCUAUAUGUGAAAGGGGCACUUCUCGGCCUCUGGGUGGCACUGCUAUUUUCUGUGAGCUUCUGCCAUUGCAAUGUGCAGAUUGUGCAGAGAGUAAUAUUAACACCAGCCAAGCCUUAUCAGGUAUGUUAUUUUCAAGCUACCAUAUACAGAUUUGUCUUGUCCUGUGAUGGGCACAUGGUCAAUUUUAAGUGUCUAGGGUUGUCCUUGCCAUAUGCUGCAAUGCUAUGCCAUGUUUUCCUGCAUACAAUUCUUUCAAGACUUCCAAAUAUCAUUUCCUUGGGCAUAGUUGAUCCAUGGGCCUGUCUUUAAGAUUCCUAACGCAGAUAUGAAGGCCUUGUGGUCUUUUAUGUUCCAAGGAUGUGACAAUGACAAUGGCAAUAUACUGUAUUUAUAUUCAUGAUCCAAAUGCUCUACAAGUCCCAUUAUCCUUCCUCUGUCAAUUUCAGCAGUUUUUGUAUGAAAAUAGGAUGGUUGAAAGUAAGAAAUUCACCGCUCCAAACCUGCUCCUCAAGCCAGUGAAUGUUUGACAUUGAAAGCUGUUGUUAACAUCUAAGGCUGCAAUGCCCAAAUCUAAUACGAGCCCAGGUCUGAACAAUUAAUAUUGAAGAACUUAUCCAUUGUUUUCUGUAGGCCUUGGCUUAACCAUUGACUGCAAGCUAGAAAAUGGAGAGUUUAAAACAAGGAAAGUUGGAGACAUCAACCAAGAAGGGAAAUUGUAAGUUUUUCUUCCUAAGGAGACUGUAAAAAGACAGUUCAAAGAGGAAUACCUUACACAGUUUCUCAGUGCAUCAGCCGCACCAUGCCCUGCCCAGAGUGGCCUGCAGGCCUCCAAGGUAAUUUUGAAGUCCAAAAUUGAAGGCAAACACAUAUUUGGCCUGGCUGGAAACUGAAGUUCUCAUGAAAAACAUGCACUUCUGCAUUCUUAUGGCCUUUCUAUAAGUACCCACCUCUACCUAAGCUGCCACCUUGGCCCAAGUUGCCAUCCUUUCCCCAAAAAUCACCCAUGGUUUAAGCCCUUGCCCAAGGUUCAUCCUCAAACAAACACUGGUCUACAAGAAACCACUUCCACUACCAGUGUACAAGAAGCCACUACCACCAGCAGCAAUAAUAUACAAGAAGCCCCUUCCACCACAUUUCAGUUUAUAAGAAACCACUUUCACUGUCUGUUCCAGUUCAUAAGAAACCACUUUCAUCACCUGUUCCAAUUCAUAAGAAAACACCUUCACCACCUGUUAUGGUUCAUAAGAAAUCACAUCCUCCUGCAAAGCCAGUAUUCAAGAAGCCCUGGCCACCUCCUGUCCCUGUUGUUAAGAAGCCACUUCCAUCUUCUGUUCCCAUAUACAAGAAGCCACUUUCCUUUCCCCUUCCAAUUCACAAACCAAUACCAGCUUUCUAUAAACCUCUUCCUCCACUCCCCCCAGUUUAUAUGAAGCCAUUUUCUUCCUAAACCUCUCUAACCCUAUAUUUGAUUAAAUAUAUUCCAAAUCGUUGAAUGAAGACUGAGUAGCUAGGGAAAAUUGACUUAAGGAAAUUUAUAGUUAAAAUCCUAGAAUUUUCAAAAACCCAAUUUUAGAAUUCAGAGAGUGAGCAAUCCAAAGAUCUGAAGUUUAGGAUCAAAUCUAUCCUUAAGACAAAUUUGCAUUUGAAACCUAGUUUUAUCCUUUCCUGUUCUGAUCACUAAAUCAAAUACAUAAAUCAAUUAGGCUUUUGGUUCAUAUGUCAAACCUGCCAUCUAUCUUGUAGAUUCAGGUUUCAAAUAGAUCAUAGUAGAUUUGAUUGACUAGUGAUCAAGGAAUUACUAAACAUCACUAGCAACCUAAUAGAUAUCUACCGUAUUGUAUUCUAAUCCAAAGGAUACAGAGAAUUUAUUCUGUCCAUUAAAUCAAACGUAAACCCUAAUCCUUUUAUUUAACUUUAUGGCACUCAUUGCUCCUCCUUGUCCUGCUCUUCUAUCUUCAUGCUAUAAUUCCAGAUGGAAAGGUCUUAGCUUCUAAUAGUCAGGUUUUCACUCACAGAAACUAUAAGAAAACAAAGAUCUAUAUGUAUUGCAAAAUGAGAAGUAAAGAGCAAAUUUCAGAAGUAUCAAGGAUAAUAGUAUAAUAUCUUUCUCUGUAUCUCUAAUUUUUUCAACCCUAAAAAAGGUAGUGAGUGCCCCAUGUCGUGUCUACGUGAUUUACCAUCUCUAGAAGUGCAUAUUUGGGAACCAAUCAGACCUGUAUGGAUUGUUCUGGUUGUUUCACUGUGACUUUUGGACCUGGUGGAUGUUCUGAGUUAAUAUGCCUGGACCUAUCCAAAUGAUGGUACAUCUAACUUUCAUUUAUACAAAUAUGAACCCCCAAGUCAAAGUAAUGGAUCAAGACUGCAUAACCAAUUUCUAUAUAUGCAAAGAAUUUCAGAUGGAAAACUAGGGAAAAUGGGAGGGAAGCAACCAAUCAUUUCUUUCUUUUUCCUUCAUUACUGGUUUGAUUUUAUCAGAUAUGACUGCUUUCUACUCCCCCAAGUAUGAAUGCCCAUUUCCUCUCUCCAAAAUCCAUCCACCCUCCUUCUCCCCUUUUGUUUUAGCAUGAAUUAGGCCUCAUAUCUCUAGCAUGGCAAAACCAUACAUGCAGGAAAUUUCAGGUAUAAAACUCUCCAGAGUGCUGAUCCCUGAUCCCAGGUUCUGCUUUUGAUCAGUAACCUAAUUCACUGCAUGAAAACCAUCAUCCUGAAUGACAUAAAUAUUUGAUUAGUCAGAAAAAUUCACCACCUUUUGUUGUACAAGAGAAUAAUGAAGAGGUUUGGUGGAGUAGAACCAAUAAAUGACCACAUUUUAUCUUGGUGAGAUAGUUGGGCAUUUAUUUUCUGCCACCCCUAUCCACGAAAGAUCCUUCUCGAUCAGAAAAUUAGCUAAUAUAACCAAGGCCAAAGUCUUGUUUUAUCUGCAGCAAAAUAAGCAAUCUUCAACAGGGGCAUAAACUACUAUUAGCAUCCUGAUUGGUCUCAAUUGGGUUCAUAUACUAGUAUAAGCCUCUUAGCUACAAGGGUAAGGUAGAUGUGAGCUUGAUCUUUCUGUUCAUUACCCUAUUAAUAUUUUUACAAUGAUUUUGAAAAACCCUCAUUAAUUUGCAUUCAUGACACCUUUGUGGCUAAAAUAAAUAAUCAGAUAGGAAACAGCAAAUGAAAAGAAUUAGAAUGGACUUAUCUUCACUACAAAAGUGGCACUUGAAAGGUGUUAUCCAAAGCAGUCCCACAAAGAUGCCUGGUGGUUUGGAGGCAGGUGAACCAUAAUAACAACAUGCAUGUGUAAACAAAUUAUGCAUUCAUGAAGGUCAGAAUUGGUGUUGUGAUCGAUCUUGUAGGGCUUAAGUUUUGAUUUUUGUGGCAUUUUGGGAAACCCAGUUUUGGCAUUUAUCGGCCAACCCAGGUCUCCAUUUCUGUUUAUGUAAUGAUCUUAUUUAUUUAUUUAUUUGUUUGUUUAUUUCUAUGGACUGGCUUUAUUCCUGUGCUCAAACUUAAGGUGUCCCUGGUUUAGGGUGAAUUGGGUUUAAAAAUGUAGUCUAUUACAUAUAGUUGCAUAUUAGUUUUAGAAGCAAAAAUUUCCUAGAUGUAGUCUUUGCUAUAGCUACUAGCAGUUCUGAAUAUAUUUUUCUUGUGGAGGUCUUCUAAUAAUCUGCAUUAAGUGCUUUUACCUAAGUUUUCAAUAAAUUUCUCCUUCAAAAUGGAAAGAUUAUCUAAAUCAUUGUUGAGAAAAAAAAAACCCAGAUAAUUAUCUGGGUUAAAGUUUGGAUUUCUCUACUCUUUUUCUCACCUUUCUGAGCAACUAAAUAUUUGGAUUUAGAUCAUAACUCAUAUGAGUCUUUGAAUUUGUGCUUAGUGACCUGACCAAGCCUCCUACGAUGAGUGCAAUCAAUUCAACUGAUUUGAUCCUAGCCCAAGCUCAAUCCAAGUUGGAAAAUUUGAAUUAGAGGUUUUUGUUGUAUCAAACUUGGGGUAUGGGACCUAAAUGAUAAGGUUGGAUUGCUAGGAAGAGUUUUACUAGAGCAUGGGCAUUUCAGCAACUCAACCUACUAUUUUCAUUGAAGCAGAGUUUUAUGAGUGCUUGGUGAGUAGGUUUACUGAUACAAGAACACCAAAAUGCAGCUGCCAAGUGGACGGUUCAUUCAAUGAGGUUAAUGCUAUUUGAUGUACAAACUUAGUAGGCUUUGUCACAGUCUUUUCUUUCCCUGCAAACACAAACCUUCUCAAUUCAUCUAGAGCUCCAUGUGAUGCUUUUAAAGAGAUGUCAGUAAGCCUCCAAAACCGGUUAUUUACUAUCAUUAUAUAACAAGUGUAGGACUCAAGUCACUCAAGGUCUGUAUCAAACAACAGAAGCUUGUAAAGCUUGUAGCCUCUCAACUAAGAUUUUGCCAUUGUCUUCUCUUAUUGUGAGCCAUAAGGGGCAGGGUUCCCAAUGCAGGUUCUUCCCAUAUUUCAAUGGGCAGGUCUAGGCUUCUUUAUAUCCCUGCUGUUUGCUGUGAGCUUCUGCCAUGGCAACAACCAGGAAGUCAUGGUCGUUGGGACAGGAGAAUGUGCAGACUGUGAUCACAGUAACAUUAAGACUAGCCAAGCAUUUUCAGGUAGUCAGUCAUCUUUUUACUACCUACUCAAUUGGGCUUCUCUUACUGUCUAGUUUCACGUCAGAUUUUUUCUAUAAUGCCAUGAUCUGAAUAAACAACUAAUGCUGAAGAUCAUAACAGUGAACUUGUGGAUUAUUUUGUGCAGGCCUCGGUGUAACCAUUGAAUGCAAGCUAGAAAGCGGGGAGUUCAAAACAAGGGCAGUUGGAGAGCUUGAUGAAGAAGGGGAGUUCAAACUUCCUCUUCCUAAGGAGAUAGUAAAAGGUGGAAAGUUGAAGGAGGAAUGCUUUGCACAGCUUCACAGUGCCUCGGCAAAACCUUGCCCAAUCAGAAAUGGCCCAGAGGCUUCCAAGAUAAUUUUGAAGACCACAAACAAUGGCAAACAGGUGUUUGCCCCGGCUGGGAAACUAAAAUUCUCGCCAGUGACAUGCACUUCAGCCUUCUUAUGGCCUUUCUACAAGUACCCGCCUCUUCCCACACUUCCACAUUGGCCCAAGCCUCUGCCCAAGUUCUACCUUCCACCUUUCUCUCCAGUCCCUACUCCAAUUACAUACCCUGCACCAGAAGCUGAUCCUCCAGUCUCUCAUCCCCCACCCCCACCAGUCUAUAAACAACAAAUUCCACCAAGUGUGCCACCAUACACAGCCCCAUCUCCACCUCAAGUCUAUGAUCAACCAAGUCCACAACCAGUAUACUACGAGCCACAUCCACCACCAGUGCCCAUAUACCAUAAGCCCCUUCCUCCACCAGUACGAGUGUAUGGACAACCAUUUCCAUCGCCAGUGCCAGUAUACAAGAAGCCACUUCCACCGCCAGUGCCCAUAUACAAGAAGCCGCCUCUUCCAUCACUUCCACCACCUGUGCCAGUUCAUAAGAAGUCACUUCCUCCACCAGUUCCAGUAUAUGAAACGCCUUAUCCACCUCCUUUUCCUGAGCAACCGCUUCCACCACCAGUACCAAUAUACAAGAAACCACCACUUCCACCACCAGUUCCAGUUUCUCAGGAGCCACUCCCACCACCUAGUCCAGUGUAUAAUGAACCACUUCCUCCUUCUCCAGUUCCAGUUCUCAAGAAGCCUAUUCCACCUAUUGUUGAGAAACCACUGCCACCACCUGUGCCAAUAUUCAAGAAGCCAGCACUUCCACCCCCGGUUCCUGUCUACAAGAAGCCGCCACUUCCCCCACCUCCACCACCUGUUCCAGUCUAUGGGGAACCAUUGCCUCCUCCAGUUCCAGCCUUCAAGAAGCCAUAUCCACCGCCUCUUCCGAUAGUAGAGAAGCCACUUCCACCUCCAAUUCCAAUUCACAAACCAAUUCCUCCAAUCUCCAAGCCUGCCCCAACUCCAGAGGUCCUUCCUGCUCCACCUCCAAUUUACAGUCCAAAACCUCCAAUCCUCAACCCUACUCCAAAGCCAAAAGUCCUACCACCACCACAGCCAGUACCCAUAACCAAAAAGCCACUUCCACCACCUGUUCCCAUUCAAAAACCAGUACCAGCAGCCCAAAAUCCUCCUCCAGUUUACAAGAAGCCACUUCCACCCAUUCCCAAAGCCCCCGCUCUUCCUAAGCUUCCUCCUCUGCCCAAAACUCCUCCGAAGUACUUCUACCACCCAAAGUAUGGACUGGGUAACGCCAAACCACCUAGUUCAUCUCAUCCGUAGGUCACCAUAGUGUCCUUCCCAGGUGUAAUUAGGAAUAAACAAUGGUUCUGCAAUAAAUUAAGCAUCCAUCGCAGAUAAAAAAACAGUCAAAAGAACAAGAAAAAUGGAUGUGGGUGUGUGUCGAUUCUUUUUUUUUUUUUUUUUUUUACUUGAUUGUGCCUUUACAUUAGACAGUGACUAAAUCUUCAAGGCCUGUAACCCAUCUGUGAUGGGUAAUUAUGGAGGCUGAUGAAGCAACCAUUGGUUUCAUUUUCUUGUCUGCUGAUUCAAUCUCUUGAAUUCAAACUGCUAUCUAGUUUACAAUGCACACAUAUGAUUAAAUCUCCAAUUUUUCUUAAACCUUUCUGCCAACAAAGAUUGUGACUUCAAGAGUGGACCACUAAACCCAUAGGAAAACUAUAGCUACUUCAGAACCCGUUCAUAUGUAUUAGACCAUAAAAGAACAUAUGAUAAAGUCAACGAAAGUUGAAACCCUAUCUUUCUCUUUGAUUUCUAAAGUGGUGAAAGGUGUGUUUAAAAGAUUUUACGCCUACAAAUUCAUUGGAAUUGCCUGUGUUAUUAGUGAAUAAAAGUGGUGGGGUGUUACAUUGGUACUUCUAACUAACAAAACCACAUCAAUGGUUUUUAGUUUUCAGAGUAAUAGAUCUUUAGUAGAUUCUAUUUGAAAUUUUAAAUUUAUUAAAAAAAACAAUAAUUUCCAUCCGACCUACCGGAUUCGAACCAGUGACCUAAGGAUUACUAUAAGGUUAAACCCACUACAGUCCUCCGCUCUACCAACUGAGCUAAGGUCGGAUUGAUUAAUAAGCCUAUAAUUAAUAUAUAAACGUAUUAACUAAAAUAAAUAACUAUAACCUUUUGUACAACCUUAUGUUUUUAUCUAAACGUUUUUAUGCACACAUACGAUUGAAUCUCUAAUUUUCAUCAAACCUUUAUAGCAACUAAGAUUGUGAAUAUGAGUGCCACUAGACUCAUAUGAAAAUACUAGCUUCUUUAGAACCCAAUUCAUAUUAAAACAUAUGAUAAAAUCAAAGAAACUUGAAACCUUAUUUGUCUAUUUGAUUCCUUAAGUGGUGGAAGUUGUGUUUUAAAGAUUUUAGGUCUACAGGUUCACUGGAACUUCCUAUGUUACAAGUGAAUAAAAGUAGUGGGAUGUUACAUUGGUGAUACCCAACCAACCAAACUACAUGGAUCAAAUUAUGUUAUUAUUGAAUAAAAAUGGUGGUUGUUGAUCGCAAAUCUCUAUUGUAAAUAAAAUACUAAAACCUAAAUACAUGAUAACUCUGACCAAGAAAAAACCAAAAAUAGAGUUACCACAACUUUGUAGUAUUCCGGGUUGUCGUCCUCUAGGAUUAGUUGUAAUACUUUUAUUUGUUCUUAGAUUCAAAAGAUUAAUUAUUUAUUAAAGGUAAAAAAUAUCUAAUUCAAAUAAAUCAAAAUAAAACAUGGAAGAAAAAUUUCCUAAAUAAACCUAUUGAAAUUAUAAAAUAAUUAUUGAUUUUUACUUCAAUUAAUUAAUCAAGAUUGGGGUUCCACAAUCCAACAUCAAGUAUAAACUUUUAGGCAAAACAAGGCUAUAUAAUUUAAUAAUCUUAGGGUAAUCAAAAUGCAUGGUUUAACGAGAUCAACCUGAGUUAUACACCUCAGAGUUGAUCUAUAUCCUAACUUUUAAUAUUUUAUUUCAUUAAAUUACCUAAUAGAUGAAUGAACAUGAAAUCUAAGUUUAGGUCUAAGGUUUUUAGGUUUUUACCACUCUAUGUAGAUUUGCCUUAGGGUAGAUAACAAUGACAAAACCUUUGAUAACUAGAGAUCAAGAAUUACCAAGAAUCCUUAGUAUCAAGAAAUAUGGGAUUGUAUCAUUUCCUAAGUC
rnacentral:lncRNA from 1 species